rnacentral:rRNA from 1 species
GACGAACGCUGGCGGCGUGCCUAACACAUGCAAGUCGAACGGGGCUCUUUGGAUCGAGACUUCGGUCAAGUGAAUCUGAGCUUAGUGGCGGACGGGUGAGUAACGCGUGAGCAACCUGCCUUUCAGAGGGGGACAACAUCCCGAAAGGGGUGCUAAUACCGAAUGUGAUCACAUUUCCGCAUGGAAUUGUGAUGAAAGAUGGCCUCUAUUUAUAAGCUAUCGCUAAAGGAUGGGCCUGCGUCUGAUUAGCUAGUUGGUGGGGUAACGGCUCACCAAGGCGAUGAUCAGUAGCCGGUCUGAGAGGAUGAACGGCCACAUUGGGACUGAGACACGGCCCAG